rnacentral:rRNA from 1 species
UACGUAGGGUGCGAGCGUUGUCCGGAAUUAUUGGGCGUAAAGGGCUCGUAGGCGGUUUGUCGCGUCGGGAGUGAAAUCCACUGGCUUAACUGGUGGCUUGCUUUCGAUACGGGCAGACUGGAGGUAUGCAGGGGAGAACGGAAUUCCUGGUGUAGCGGUGAAAUGCGCAGAUAUCAGGAGGAACACCGGUGGCGAAGGCGGAUCUCUGGGCCGAUACUGACGCUGAGGAGCGAAAGCGUGGGGAGCGAACAGG